AAAAUAUUAAGACACAUUUAGAUCCGCCAAACCCGCCUAAAUCCGUCUAAUGACCGUCUAAUCCAUUUAAAAUCCGCAUAGUCCGCAAAAAUUUACUCGAGUGCCUAAUAAAACCGAUUUUAAGAAAGUGGAAACGGUACAAAGGCGCAUAUCGUCUAGGCGACGCCUAGACGGCCGCCUAGCACACUUUCUUAAAUACUGCCACAAACAUAUAAAAAGGGAUAGCAAUUUUUGUAAAAUAAAUAGAAAACGUAUGUUUAAAGUUAAUAGCUUGCAUAUUAUAAGAAAGAAUUGCCCUUGAUUAUUUUAAGACAAAUUUGUCAAAUGUUU
rnacentral:sRNA from 1 species